UACGAAGGGUCCAAGCGUUGUUCGGAAUCAUUGGGCGUAAAGCGCACGUAGGCGGCCUCAUAAGUCGGAUGUGAAAUCCCUCGGCUCAACCGAGGAAGUGCAUCCGAAACUGCGAGGCUCGAGUAUGGAAGAGGGUCGCAGAAUUCCCGGUGUAGAGGUGAAAUUCGUAGAUAUCGGGAGGAAUACCAGUGGCGAAGGCGGCGACCUGGGCCAAUACUGACGCUGAGGUGCGAAAGCGUGGGGAGCAAACAGG
rnacentral:rRNA from 1 species